rnacentral:pre_miRNA from 1 species
GUAUUCCUGAGAGUUCCCUUGACCACUUCACGAGGGCUUAAUUACUUUGUUUUAUGAUUCUCCGCUGAAGUGUUUGGGGGAACUCCCAGGUUCAC